rnacentral:rRNA from 1 species
UGUAAAGGCAGUGAUGUCAUAGUCGAGUAGUACUAAUUACCCAUAGACUUUUUCUA